GGCUGGUCUGAAAGAAAGCAGUGACUUGAUUGUUCACAGGUCCCUUACAGAUUGAACUCCUUGUCCCUCCCCCUUCUCACUACCGUACUUGACUAGUCUUUA
ensembl:misc_RNA Y_RNA Y RNA